rnacentral:lncRNA from 1 species
AUCAUUCUUCUCAUUCAACCAUUGUAUUCAACAUGUUUCAACACAAAUAGCCCUCUCGUUUUCAAGUCAAAAUCAUAUCAAUUCUCAAAAUAUUUCAUGUCAUGUUUUUCAAGAUGUUUUCAAUCAAUUUACAUCAUAUGAACAUUUAAAACAAAUUCAUAUCAAGAGAGGGAUUCCAUAUAAUUCAUGCUCUCAAAUUAACACCUUUUUGAAACACAUGCAUAU